GAAGCAAGCUUUAUCAAAGCAACUCUUUGGAACUUAUGCUAACUUGCCAAGAAUCCAACCUAUUUUGUGCCAUUCAAUAGCAAAUAAACAUAAAAUCAUUACUAAUCAUAUGCAAUCAUAGUUCCAAAACAAAUAUAACAGAAAUAUAUGGCCCAAACCAGCAACAAACUUGCCACAACAUCCAACGUUGCAGCUUUGGCAUGGACAUUCCGCCUGUUCAACAAUUUACAAACUCAAGGAAAAAACCGCUGAAAUGCCCCCACAGGCAGGUUUUCA
rnacentral:misc_RNA from 1 species